CCAGAAUGUCAGUUGUAGCAAAGCUGUGUUCAAGGCGUUAGCAGACUCUCCGAAAGGAUCUAUUCCUAAAAAAAUAAAUAAAACCAAACAUUCAGAGCUGACCGUCAUUCAUUUCAUUUCCACGCAGACUGAAGAAAGAUUGUUGGAUUGUUGAUGUUCUUUGUCCUUUAAACUUUUUUCUCACGCUGAUUGAGCCCGUCAGGAAGUGGUCGUCGGUGCCGCAAUGGCCCUCAACAUGAGCCGUCCUGAGGGAUGCGGCGCGGGCGUGGACUCCAUAUAUUACAACCUGUGUGAUCUGGCCUCAGUGUGGGGGGUGGUCCUGGAGGCCCUGGCCACGGCCGGCGUGGUUUUCUCCUUCGUGCUGUUCAUCGCGCUGCUCGCCAACGUGCCCUUCACUCAAGACAGGAACCGCAAGAACUCGGCGGCGCUGCACGCCGUCUUCCUGGUGUGCACGGCCGGCCUCUUUGGCCUGACCUUCGCCUUCAUCGUGGGGAAAGACUUCUCCACUUGCGCCUCACGCCGCUUCCUGUUCGGCGUGUUGUUUGCGGGCUGCUUUUCCUGCCUCCUGGUGCAGGCCGUCAGGCUGAACAUGCUAGCCCGGAGCAACAGAGCCCCUCGGGUUUGGACCUCGUGUCUUGGCGUGUUGGCGCUGUGGUUGGUGGAGGUGAUCAUCAACACCGAGUGGCUGAUCAUCACGGUGGUGCGCCACCCGCUGGCACCACUCAACUUCACUGCACAGCCAAGCGAUGCUACGGCCACGCCCUGCAACAUCGCUAAUCAGGACUUCGCCAUGGCGCUGAUCUACGUGAUGGUACUGCUUCUCGCCGUGUUGGCGGCCAGCGUUUGCGUCAUGGCGGGCAAACACAAGCAGUGGAAGGUGGAGGGCUCUCUCAUCCUUGUGAGUGGCCUCCUGUCCGUGGGCAUUUGGGUGGCGUGGAUCGUCAUGUACGUCUAUGGGAACCAAGGCAGGGGCGAGCCCUCGUGGGACGACCCCACACUUGCCAUCACCCUAGUGGCCAACGCCUGGGUCUUCCUCGUCUUCCUCACCAUUCCACAAGUUUGCUGCUCUCAGAGCGAUGGCAGCGGCUCCGACUUUGGGGAAGACUCGUACCCGAGCCGAGGCGUGGGCUAUGAGAACAUCCUGAAGGAGCAGAACCCUCACAACGUCUUCAUGGAAAACAAGGCCUUCUCCAUGGACGAGCCUGGACCAGGGUCCAAGCCGGUGUCUCCGUACAGCGGCUACACGGGCCAGCUGAGGAGCAGCGUGUACCAGCCCACCGAGCUCGCCCUCAUCACCAAAGCCAGCGUGAACCCGCCAGACAUGUCGUACACCACCAUUCCCAGAGUCUCCGCCCACUCUGUGGCCGACAGCAUUAGGUCCGCUCCUUCGCAGCACGGCGACACGUCCAGCGCUGUGUAUCUCAACGGAAGCAGCGUAGGGAGACGUCCUGCACAGGACUUCUCAGUGGUGAACCCGUCAUGUCCAUCCUGAUCCUCCCAUCAACAACUGAUCUGGACCACGUUGUCCUGAAACAUGGAGAACAUCUGCCAUCCUUUUCCCUCACAUCUUCUUCUGCAACAUGAACUCCUCCCACUUUGGCUUUCUACAACUGAAGACAUCAAAAAUAAAAGCACAUUUAGAUGUUUCCUGGCAUCUUCAAUGUCUAUCCAUCCCGCUGGCGUGAGCCCGGUCAAGGUCAUAAGAGGAAGGGGAAACAAAAUUGAUUGUCAGCUUCCUGCUGCGUCGGGCUGCAGGGGACAAAAACAAAUGUGGAUCGCAUUGCCCUGGGACGGAACAAACACGCAAACCUGAAGGCACCAUUUCAGGCCCAUCCGGCUUUGGUUUCAUCAGCAGGAGGACAUCUUUGAUGGUUUCCUGAAAUCUUCAGAAAAGCGGGUUGGCCAAGGAAAUAAAGGACACUUAGGGCCCACUAAAAUUUAAAAAUUUAGUAGCUU